rnacentral:rRNA from 1 species
UCUCGGCUCUUGCAUCGAUGAAGAACGUAGUGAAAUGCGAUACUUGGUGUGAAUUGCAGAAUCUCGUGAACCAUUGAGUCUUUGAACGCAAGUUGUGCCCGAGGCCUUGUGGCCGAGGGCACGCCUGCUUGGGCGUCAUGGCAUCGUCGCCUUUGGUCCUUGCUU